UGGCUGAGCGGUAAAGCGCUUGGCUUCUGAACUGGGGGUCCCAGGUUUGAAUCCUGG
rnacentral:tRNA from 1 species